rnacentral:rRNA from 1 species
UACGUAGGGUGCGAGCGUUGUCCGGAAUUAUUGGGCGUAAAGGGCUCGUAGGCGGUCUGUUGCGUCGGGAGUGAAAACUCAGGGCUUAACCCUGAGCCUGCUUCCGAUACGGGCAGACUAGAGGUAUGCAGGGGAGAACGGAAUUCCUGGUGUAGCGGUGAAAUGCGCAGAUAUCAGGAGGAACACCGGUGGCGAAGGCGGUUCUCUGGGCAUUACCUGACGCUGAUGAGCGAAAGUGUGGGGAGCGAACAGG